UGGGGGAUUUUGGACAAUGGGCGAAAGCCUGAUCCAGCAAUGCCGCGUGUGUGAAGAAGGCCUUCGGGUUGUAAAGCACUUUUGUCCGGAAAGAAAUCCUCUGAGUUAAUACCUCGGGGGGAAUGACGGUACCGGAAGAAUAAGCACCGGCUAACUACGUGCCAGCAGCCGCGGUAAUACGUAGGUGCAAGCGUUAAUCGAAUUACUGGGCGUAAAGCGUGCGCAGGCGGUUUUGUAAUACGGAUGUGAAAUCCCCGGGCUUAACCUGGGAACUGCAUUCGUGACUGCAAGGCUAGAGUAUGGCAGAGGGGGGUAGAAUUCCACGUGUAGCAGUGAAAUGCGUAGAGAUGUGGAGGAAUACCGAUGGCGAAGGCAGCCCCCUGGGCCAAUACUGACGCUCAUGCACGAAAGCGUGGGGAGCAAAACAGGAUUAGAUACCCUGGUAGUCCACGCCCUAAACGAUGUCAACUAGUUGUUGGGGAUUCAUUUCCUUAGUAACGUAGCUAACGCGUGAAGUUGACCGCCUGGGGAGUACGGUCGCAAGAUUAAAACUCAAAUGAAUUGACGGGGUCAUAGCUGUUUCCUG
rnacentral:rRNA from 1 species